CGAUAAGGAGCAAUUUAUUUUAAAAAAUAAAUUAGGAUUAAUAAGAGGCAACAUCCAUACCGAAAACUAUGUAACCUAAACGGAAACGAUAAGCAAAGAAAACAACCGCCUUGCUCUCCGGGCAACAUCUGCCAAGUUUCAAUGCCAAAUUGCCAAUAUAAUCCCAUUUUGCUAAGCCGACAUUCUUCAUUUAUCAACAAAAGCUAGCCAAAUUUUAUCUCUGUUCACUCUGGUUUCAACGGUCUUCGAGACAACAUAAAUGGAAAAUUUUCCGUACACGAAAACGCCCGUGGUACAUUUUUCUCGGAUAAAUCGAAGCUUCCAAGUCCCGACGUUCAGAACCUGGAAAAAGGCUGUUUUCCAUCCACAUCUGAUCCGCCUUAAACCGGUGAGUGCGUUUCAUAUUGUCAUUAUACCAAUGUUCGUUCAUGAUAGAACGCUUUUGGAGCCAUACUAUACGCGCGCAAUUCGAGUACAUCCCAUGAACUGUUCGACUUUUCGUUACCCGCAUUUAGUUUACCAACAUACUUGCAAUAUUGCGCGACUUUGCUCUCACGAGGCAUAUAUUAAUAUGAAAACGCAGGUUUAAGCCCAUGCAGGGUCAACAUGUGUUAGUUGGGGUUAGGACGAUAAUUUUAUAUAUACAAUAUAAUCCCAUAUAUGUUUGUCCUUUACAAGUCUAAUGUCCACUUCAUGAACAAAAUACCCUGCUUUCAUGAUGAAACAUUUGGCCACAGGCAUAAACAGAGUCGUCCUACGUAUACUACACGCUAUAGUCUGAAAUUAUUGCCACAUGCAUGCUUCUGCGUUCAUCGACCACAAUUUUAUAGUAUAGCUACAGUGCAUGUAUGCUCAUAUUAUGUUAUUACCCGCGUACGUAACAUAUUUUGCUUGAAAGCAGCUACAUUUGCGCCCAUUCCUCGAUAUGGCCAGUCAAAUUGCCAGUCUCGCAGAAUACUCUCAUCUUAUAAUCUAACUCCUUGUGGUGAGGUAUAUUCAUGUUUUGUUUUGUUUUCCCCGUGAACCACAUUUGUAAGAUUGUACUGAUACCAUUAGUACCAUUUGCCUGAUACCGAAGAGGUAAAUAGACUUCAUUACUCUGUAACUCAAUUUAAGAUACCCUAAAACUGUAGCGCUAGCCAGCUAUACUUGUAAGCCAAUCUGAAGCAUGCAUAGCAAACAAUAUGACGCUAUACAUAAAUCUCUAGGUUAUAAUAUAUAUACAUGUACUGUACCAACUACUGUGAGUAGUGUAUGUCACCUAAUCAUAUAUCUCAAUCAGGAAUAAAUUUCCAAACAACCAGUCAACCACAUAACUUCAGCCACGACACCAUACUCCAUAGAUAUCUUAUAUACACUAGAUAUCUAUGCACGAUACGCGCGUAUGGAUCGUUAUCCAAGAUAUACAGAACACCAUGCACACGCAAUAUACAUACAUUAUGCCCCUACUAAACAAUAUCUCGCUAUAUGGUCUGCUCUCCAAACCCGGUGACCAUUAACCAAAUACUGCCUACAAAAGAUUGCACAACGCAAAAUCCCAAACUCCUGUAUAUAUAGACUAUAUAAGGUAUAACAUUACAAACUGGCAGAGGAAAUACUGCUAGUGAAAGAAUUUAAAGAUCGUCGGUUUCUCACUCGUUCAGGAAUGCUCAGUACAGAUUUUAAUUAACCCCACUGUAGAGGAAGCAUUUCUGC
rnacentral:lncRNA from 1 species